UCUCUUUUAAGGUGUCAAGACCGGACAGUUCACGAUUCUCCAGCUGGUUGAAGCAUUGGGGUUGAGUCUGACCAGCUCUCAGCCUCAGACGCGUGGCCGAGGAGUUCAGCUCCUGUCGCAGGUCCUGCAGGAAUGCUACAGCAGCCUGUCGGAGAAAGAGCUGGAGGUCCUGCUAGCUUUCUAUGAAAACAGACUGAAGGAUCAUUAUGUGAUCAUACCACAUGUUCUUCAGGGGCUGAAGGCUUUGACGGAAUGCUCUGUUCUGCCUCCUGGUUCAGCUGUGUCCAUUUUGAGAUCCAUCUUCCAGGAUCUUCAUGUUCAG